rnacentral:lncRNA from 1 species
GUAAGUCUUUCAUUUCUAUGCAAAUUUUAGGUGUUUGAUUCAUUGUUUAGUUCAAUAUUCUCUCUGACAUGUGCUUAAUCAACAGCCCAAAAAGUCAAUGGGAAGCUUUACAGUGCCUUAGCUUUUGUCCAAGCCCCAUAGGUGCUUUAAUUAACUCAAUUUUCAAAAAUUGGUUAACUGCUGAAGUUAGACUAGCUCUUCCCUCUGAUUGGGUAAUAUUUUUUUUAGGCGAUAAAUUAUUGGCAGCAAUAAUUUGGGACUUUUUUCUUCAUUUUUAGACAUUCCCCUAAUGUCUACCACCGUUCUCUCCAACAGUUCAAAAGCAUCUGGUUUACAGUGUUAAACUAAGUGUAAACAAACUAAUACUCCCAUUUAGCAGAUAGAUGAUUUACCAGACUUCCUGUUACUUGAAUUAAGUAUUGAGCUAAACUGGAGCUAAAUUGUUCAUCUUAAGGCUUUUGAACUGUGUCAGAAAUGACAUAGUAAAUAACAGGAUGGUUUGUUGUACAACACCAGAAAAUAGUGAGUGAUUGAUUACUGCGAUGGCGAGGAAAUGGAUUUGGCGUGCCAAUACACGUAUUUGAAAAGUACCUUAAAGUUUACAGAUGUGGACUAAUUGGUAACUUCUGUAAAGGCCAUGCAAUUCAAUUUUGGCGCAAGAGUUAGCAAGGUCACACAUUACCAUGAGUGAUGCUAGCUAUUGUUUCAUUGUAUUGAUUUUAUUCAGGAUUCAUAAAUGUGGAUUAGUUAUUCAUUAAAUAAAUCUGGUGUACUCUCAGCACAACUUGUUUGCGUUUGACCUAAUAAUCUGCAUAAAUAUACAAGGUUAGUCCAGAGUUAGUGCAGAUGAGUGCAGACUUAGUGCAGGUAGUGCAAACCAUGCCUAAUCUUCAUGCUUUUUUGCUAGCAUUGAGUUCAGAGAAGCUGUGGAUUGAGACACAAGCACAGUCACUUAGAGACCUGGGUACAUGGCUGCUCUUUUUCUGUGCCCGUACUGGAGAUGGCUUGCCAGGCAUAGAUGGGAAGGAGGAAUCCAGAGGAAAAGGAGAUCCCAGCUGCCUGAUUUCAAAUUGUUGCUGUUGGUUAAGUUUCUGCUCAUCACUGGUCUGA